AAACACCUGACGUCGUACCGACGUUGGUUAGACGUUGGAUUUUGGUCGCGACGUCGGCGACCUGAAUCCAACGUCUAACCAACGUCAUAUCCACGACGUCUAAUAGACGUCAGACUUAGACGUCUAGAAGACGUUGGCAUUAGGUUGGAUAGAAAGUCUGAUAAAUGUUUUUAGUUAUAAAACUAACUGGUAUAAUUUUGCUAGUAUAGUUUAAAGAUAUUUACUUGUUUUCAUAAAGGCCUAGACAUGCGCUUAAUUAUUAAUAAUAGUUCAUUCUCACAACAAGCAUUAUAUUAAUUAUGUUACAAUAUCGCAUGAGAGUGUCUAUUUCCGGAGACGGAUUUUUUCACGAACUUUAAACUGUUAAAGAUAAAAAUGCAUUCUAUACACAUAUAUAAAUUAUUCUAAAUUCACAUAGAUCUUCUCUUCUACACAUGUUGUCUAUCAGUCACACACUCGCGAGAUAAGCCUGCAUCGGUUUACACAGUCUUCCUGAAAUUUGAUAUUUAUUGGGUUAAGAUAGAGCAAGUUUAUAAAUACUUUACACAAAGGGAAGGAUCCGCAACGUGGAAAUGUUGGCGGAGUUGAAGAAUCAUACAAAAAUGACGAAACUUGAAAGUUUCAAUUACUGCAUUACUUUUUGGACUUAUUGUAUUAGACUUACGUCGCCAUAAUAUGAAAUAAAGAUGAUAAAAUACA